ensembl:lncRNA
CGCAAUUGUUCCUUUUAACAACCUAUUUAACAAGGUAAAUAACUAAUGCAACAAAGUCUAGGAAAGUCUUUUUUGGAUUGACCCCUCUGGGUUACUGCCAGAGGGGUCAAUCCAAAAAAUAUUCACGAAGAAGUUCUAUAAUGUUAGGUUUAGUGUGAGGCCGCUUUGUGAACUACAGCUCUUCGAUGCUCUCGACGCAAAUUAUAUAAGUCACCACCCGCACUUGGAACUCCGGUACAGACACGGCGAUCUCUCUGCUCCCUCACCGCUUUUUUCCAAAGGGAGGAUAAAUGCAUCGAAAGAGGAGAGUUGAGGGUAUGGACUACCUCUACAUGCUGAUGGGGAACUGCAUGAAGGACGUGGAUCCUGAAUGUGAGGACUCAGAACAGCUGCUUGAGGAGCUGGCCGGCGAAGAGGGCUUUAACCCUAACCACAGCGAGUGUCUGCUGGGCUGAGGAGCCAGCUUGGCACUUAUAGCUGACAGUGACAGAGACCUG